rnacentral:sRNA from 1 species
CUUUGUCUGCUAUUUUUACUAUGGGAUCCUGCAGGAAAAGAUGUGAGCGACCCCGGGGGCGGGCCGACAUUCUCUCCCCAGCCUGUGACAGGGAUCCCGGGCCUUCUGCCUCUGGACCCGGGCUUUCCUCUUGUCCUCCUGCCCGGCUGUCGCCCUCUUAGCACCCCACUACUUUUGCAGCUAUGGCUGAGCCAACCCAGAAUUCCAGAACUCCAGGAUUAUUUUCUGGAUUCUUCGGACUUGGUUAUUUUCUUUUCUUAGCUGUUUUUCCCCGCUUGGUUCUAAGGGCCUGCGUUUUACAGGCUGAGACUUCUAUCCCUCAAACAGGACCCGAGUCGGCCCCCUUUUGGUACUCCCAGAUGCUUGCAAACAACCUAUUCGUCCUCGGCCUUGGUGCCAUAGCCGAAAUACCGUCUCCUCCUGCCUGGGAACAAGAGGAAAGUAUGGGGAAGGAGCCAAGCAGGAGACGUUCACCUUUGCCUUAACUUUGGUCUUCAUUCAAUGUGUGAUUAAUGCUGUGUUUGCCAAGAUCUGGUGGAUCGUACCCGGAGCUGGCUCUAUGCUGCCUGUUCUAUCUCCUAUCUGGGUGCCAUGGUCUCCAGCAAUUCAGCACUACAGUUUGUCAACUACCCAACUCAGGUGAAACCUCAGGGUGGGAUGACGGUUGGCUCAGAUAUCAUUUGAAAAGGACUAAGAGUUCUUCCCUCAGGUCUGUGAGUUAAAAAAAAAAAAAAAAAAAAAAAAAAAGAUAACGGUCCUGUAAGACAUUAGGAGUGUAUAGAACCAUAGAACUUAGGUUUAGUGGUGGUGGGUUGGGCCAUGAUAGGGCUGCUUUCUGAGGCUGAGGUCUCUGGUGCAGGCCCUGUGCUUACUCAUCUUAAUCAGUGCGGUACCUAGCAUAGUACCUGACACAUCACAGAUGCUCAGAAAUUAUUUGCUGGAUUUAAUUUCAGGUCCUUGGUAAAUCCUGCAAGCCAAUCCCAGGUAAGCAAAGAAGAUGGUCUUCCUCUUCUGUCGUCACUCUUCUAUAGUAAGCUCUCUCUCUGCUACAACUGUGUCCCUCUCGGCUUCAUCAUCCCAUCAUGGCUGUCUCCAGGGAGUUUCCCCCAGCUCUCCCUGCUGCCCAUCCUGUCAUCUGUGUCACUUCUUGUGAUGUUCAUAGGCUGGUAAUCCUUAAUAGGAGCUAAAGGCUGACCUAGCCUGCUUCACUUGGUCAGCCAUUUCUGUGUUGCAUGUGUUUAUAUUGUCAUUAGACAACUUAAUUCCCAUUUUGAUCAUCAGUUUCUUUAUCUCAACUUCUUUUCCUUCUCCACUGUUCCCUACCCUUGUCCUGUCCCUUCCUGGACUUUACACCUUUGUUCUCUACCUCCUCCCUGUCUUAUACUUAACCCUGUUGCUCAAUCCUUAUCUAGGUGCCAGCCUGGCACCCUCCUUUUGUCCUCUCUAAGCCUUCCUUCUCAGUCAUUCUUUUCUCCCUGAGUCUUUUCUUGGUUCCUGGGAGGGAGGGCAUUGGGGUCAUCAAUACCUUAUGGAUGCCUGAAUUUUCCACUCUGUUUUUUCCCUGUAGUCAUGCUCCUUGGGGUGACCCUCUUGAAGAAGAAGUACCCGUUGGCCAAGUACCUGUGUGUGCUGUUAAUUGUGGCUGGAGUGGCCCUUUUCAUGUACAAACCCAAGAAAGUUGUUGGGAUAGAAGAACACACAGUCGGCUAUGGAGAGCUACUCUUGCUAUUAUCGCUGACCCUGGAUGGACUGACUGGUGUUUCCCAGGACCACAUGCGGGCUCAUUACCAAACAGGCUCCAACCACAUGAUGCUGAACAUCAACCUUUGGUCGACAUUGCUGCUGGGAAUGGGAAUCCUGUUCACUGGGGAGCUCUGGGAGUUCUUGAGCUUUGCUGAAAGGUACCCUGCCAUCAUCUAUAACAUCCUGCUCUUUGGGCUGACCAGUGCCCUGGGUCAGAGCUUCAUCUUUAUGACGGUUGUGUAUUUUGGUCCCCUGACCUGCUCCAUCAUCACUACAACUCGAAAGUUCUUCACAAUUUUGGCCUCUGUGAUCCUCUUCGCCAAUCCCAUCAGCCCCAUGCAGUGGGUGGGCACUGUGCUUGUGUUCCUGGCGAUGGGGUCUUGCUGUGUUGCCUAGGCUGGCCUUAAACUCCUGGGCUCAAAUGAUCCUCCUGCCUCAGUCUCCCAAAAUGCUGGGAUUGCAGGUCUUGGUCUUGAUGCCAAGUUUGGGAAAGGAGCUAAGAAGACAUCCCACUAGGAAGAGAGAGACUACCUCCACAUCAAGAAUAUUUAAGUUAUUAUCUCAAACAGUGACAUCUCUUGGGAAAAUUGACUUAAUAGGAAUAUGGGACUGAGUUCCAGUCUUUUUUAAUAAAAUAAAAUCAAGCAAAAUCACAUAUUCUAAAAAAUGCACUUGGAUUUUAACAAG